CAGGCUGGCUGCCACGCCGCCGCGGCUGACUCUUUCUCUCCCAUCCCCACCCUAAACAGCAGCUUCUUACCUCCAGGUCUGGGCAGGCUCCUCUGCAGAUUGCAAGUGCCACCUUUUCCCUCCUCUUCCUUUUCCCAGGACACCCAGCGCCCAGUCAGAGCGUCUCCUGGCACUCAGUGAGCCUGGCCAGGUAAGACUCCGCCUGCACGCUGGCUCCACUUCCGUUUGCCACUAGCCUGGCAUUCCUGGGUUUCCCUGUAGGACCUGCGCUGGCUUUUGGAAACUGUCUCCCACUGUUGCCAGAGCCUGCCUGGACUUUUCCCUGAGAGGAAAGCAUACACUGCUCCUGGAUGUGUGGGGGUCACCAGCUGUCUCCGCCUGAGUGCCACCCCGGGCUGUCAGGGGAGCGUGCUGGCUCCAUCUGCAAUCUGCCAACACCUCCUGUGAUUUUUCCCACCUCUUCUCUUCACCUGGACCCCACCUGAACCCCAGGUCCACACGCACCUGCUGCAAUCAAAGGCAGACUCAGCCUUCGGUUGGUGGAGGUGGGAAGCCAAGGUGGAGCACAGGGUGGGGACUCAAAAGCUCCAGCCUCCUGCAGGACACAAAGAGGGACCCGAGGAGGCAAAAGGUGGGGACAAAGGUGAGAGUUUCUUCUUGGGUGGGGAAGUAGCAGCUGCUCCAAGCAUCCAGGCCAGCUCUGCCCCCAUCGGACCCACAGGAAGAGCCUGCCUAGUCCCAGCUCUACCCUUCAGGCCAGCAGUUGAGUACUAGGGAUCGAACUCACGACCGCACACGUGCAAGGCAAGUGCUUACGCCACUGAGCUAAAUCCCCGGCUCCAUGGAUAAAGAAUUUAGUGUGGAAGAACUGGAAAGAUCAUAAUCAGAAGACUGAGUCUGAAGAGAAGCCAUGAAGCCAGAGAGAUAAGCAUAUAAGGAAACUACCAUUAAGUCGGGUUAUUUGGUGGUGAAGCACUAGGUUGCUGAAACAGUCAUGCUUUGACCUGUAUUCUUAUAUUGUUAUGUCCUGUUUUAUCUCAAUCUCUCCCUUAUUCUUUAAAAAAAUUAUUUAGUUAUUUCUUAUGUUUGUUUUAAUUAAGGGGAAAAAUUUUAAAAAUUAGGAUAUAUAAUAGUAACUCUUUUUGAUUUCCUAUUAACUUGUUUUGAAGUCCUGUAAUACUCCCACGAUCUUGUUUUGACUGAUUAGACUCUGUUCCAUUCUGUAUGAUAGUGUCAAGUUUGAGAGUAUAGGCAGCUACUUGAAGGCAAUAAGAUUCACUAAGAUGCCCAUUCUGGUUUGACUAUUGUCUCCUUUGGAAGUCCUG
rnacentral:lncRNA from 1 species